AUACGGAGGGUGCGAGCGUUAAUCGGAAUUACUGGGCGUAAAGCGCGCGUAGGCGGUUAUUUAAGUCAGAUGUGAAAGCCCUGGGCUCAACCUGGGAACUGCAUUUGAAACUGGGUAACUAGAGUAUAGUAGAGGGAAGUGGAAUUUCCGGUGUAGCGGUGAAAUGCGUAGAUAUCGGAAAGAACACCAGUGGCGAAGGCGGCUUCCUGGACUAAUACUGACACUGAGGUGCGAAAGCGUGGGGAGCAAACAGGAUUAGAAACCCCAGUAGUCC
rnacentral:rRNA from 1 species